UCUCAUACAUGAGCAAAGAAAGUAGCUUUUUGAGAUGGAAACUACUGUGGUGAAGAUGCUGUGAA
rnacentral:pre_miRNA from 1 species